UGGGGAAUUUUACGCAAUGGGGGAAACCCUGACGUAGCGACACCGCGUGAGCGAAGAAGCCCUUUGGGGUGUAAAGCUCUGUCGGCUGGGACGAAAAAAAUGACGGUACCAGCAAAGGAAGCAUCGGCUAACUACGUGCCAGCAGCCGCGGUAAGACGUAGGAUGCGAGCGUUGUCCGGAUUUAUUGGGCGUAAAGAGUUCGUAGGCGGUUUGUUAAGUCUGGAGUUAAAGACUGAGGCUCAACCUCAGGACUGCUUUGGAUACUGGCAGACUAGAGUACAGUAGAGGCGAGUGGAAUUUCCAGUGUAGCGGUGAAAUGCGUAGAUAUUGGGAAGAACACCAGUGGCGUAGGCGACUCGCUGGGCUGUAACUGACGCUGAGGAGCGAAAGCUAGGGGAGCAAAUGGG
rnacentral:rRNA from 1 species